UGAACGACCUACUUCAGUGCCCCCCCUAAUUUGGUCCCAACCCGUGGGGGCGCGCCUUUAGGAGCGUCCAUGUAGAGCGCCUGUAACUGAAAUCUCCUUCUGCUUUUCCUGCAGCGAACGCCAAGCGUGGAAAUGCAGAUGGCUGGAAGGAGACCUGAAAACACUGAGACGUUUCAGGAGUCUGAGCAUGCCACGCAGUCCUCCCCCACAUGGAAAAAUGGAUCUGGAGCUCAAUGCUCCAGUUUCAGCCCCCCACAGGACCGGCCCGAACAACAGAGGACAACACCCCCACAGCUGGGAGUCAAUGCAACACAAAGAUCAGCUCCGUUCAGGCACUGCUGACUGGAGAGUUGUGACAGAAACCCAGGAGGAAGACGAUGGAACAAGGAAGUGCAGACGGUUCUAAACUGGCUUGUUAGAGCCGUCUGUCAUGAGAAGAUUCAGACCCAGAACAGAACGAUGACGAUGCUCCUCCUAGCAGAGACAGAAUCCCAACUUCCUUCUAAAAAUAUGUCUGGUCUCCACAACAAACGUGUCAUGACCGCCAUCGUUUUCAUUUUCUCUGCUUCGAUUUGUUUUCAUUUUCUUUGCCUCGAUUCGGACCAGACGCAUCUACAUGUACACCCCUUCACUUCCUGUUUGAAGCUCAAAAGAUGAGGUACUUGGAUCCAGGUCAGUUCACCAGGUGACCACUAGGUGGUUCAUCACAGACAUCGGUUGGUGUAAGGAAUAAACUCAGUCUGGUUCCAAAAAA